rnacentral:tRNA from 2 species
AGAGUUUUAAGUUAAAAAAACUAAUAACCUUCAAAGUUAUCAUUAUAAAAAUUUUAAACUCUU